CAGUCACAACCUCCUUCAUUGGCAGUGGAUAAGAGUUUUAAGCUAGGAAGGGGCACGUGCAGUAUGGUUUAUAACCCUCAAGGUGAAAGUUGCUUUCUGAAUUUGAGCGUACAAAUGCUCCAUCUUCAUUCAUGCCCACAGCAGAAAAGAAAGAGGCUUUUAAUUUUAACUGUGCUAUUGCGAGAACACUUGACAGCCCUCUCCUUAUAAGUGUCUGUGAGUAAUUUAAUUAUUACUGCUUGCUGUGCAGUACCCUCAGAGCCUGCGGGGAGGACGGGGCUCAGCAACUUCUUCUCACAGUUUUCUCUAAGGUUUCCAUUCUCUGCCCUUUGGAUAUCUCUUGUUAUUGGCACUCUCAAAUUACUUUUUUAAACGGAUUUGUUACAGAUAAGGUUAGCAGUCUUAUUUGUUUUUCUCCAAACAGUGUCUUUAUGCUUUUCUGGACCACUGUAGGAGGCAUAUGGUUAUGAUGAUGACAACUGCAACCAUACUAUGAUCUGCAUGUUUUUAACGGCUGUCUCAGGCACUGAAUGCACCGUCAUGCUGAAUCGACUGUGAUGUGCUCCCAGCUAUUUCCUCGCUGCCCGCCCUACUUGAGUAUCUGAAGAAUGGUGUGGAUUGCACUUAUUUUGCCAAAGAAAACUCUGCCAAGUCAGAGCAAAGCUUGCCCACCAAUGCUGAGAGGAUUUCAGUCUGAAGAAAUUACCUCCUGAAGGAGGGUGGCAUGGAGAUGAAAGUAGACUGUGACAGUCUCUGCAUUAGCCCCAGUAUCUGUGACACCAAUGG